rnacentral:rRNA from 1 species
CCUACGGGGAGCAGCAGUGGGGAAUAUUGGGCAAUGGGCGCAAGCCUGACCCAGCAACGCCGCGUGAAGGAAGAAGGCUUUCGGGUUUUAAACUUCUUUUCUCAGGGACGAAGCAAGUGACGGUACCUGAGGAAUAAGCCACCGCUAACUACGUGCCAGCACCCGCGGUAAUACGUAGGUGGCAAGCGUUAUCCGGAUUUAUUGGGUUUAAAGGGUGCGUAGGCGGACGGUUAAGUCAGCGGUAAAAGCACGGGUCUCAACCCCGGCGAGCCGUUGAAACUGGCUGUCUUGAGAUGUCGAGAGGUAUGCGGAAUGCGCAGUGUAGCGGUGAAAUGCUGAGAUAUUGCGCAGAACUCCGAUUGCGAAGGCAGCAUACCGGCGGCGAUCUGACGCUGAGGCACGAAAGCGUGGGUAUCGAACAGGAUUAGAUACCCGAGUAGUC